GGACGCGUAGCUCAGCGGGAGAGCACUUCGUUGACAUCGAAGGGGUCACAGGUUCAAUCCCUGUCGCGUCCA
rnacentral:tRNA from 1 species